rnacentral:rRNA from 1 species
UCACCGAAGUCAAGCAUCAUCGGGCGCGGUCAGUACUUGGGUGGGUGACCACCUGGGAACACCGCGUGCCGUU